GUCGAGGGGCAGCACGAGUACUUGUACUUGGUGGCGACCGGCGCACGGGUGCGUAACGCGUAUGCAACCUACCUUAUACAGAGGGAUAGCCCAGAGAAAUUUGGAUUAAUACCUCAUAGUAUCAUUUGAAGGCAUCUGAGAAUGAUUAAAGAUUUAUCGGUAUAAGAUGGGCAUGCGUAAGAUUAGUUAGUUGGUGAGGUAACGGCUCACCAAGACUUCGAUCUUUAGGGGUUCUGAGAGGAUGAUCCCCCACACUGGUACUGAGAUACGGACCAGACUUCUACGGGAGGCAGCAGUAGGGAAUAUUGGUCAAUGGGCGAGAGCCUGAACCAGCCAUGCCGCGUGCAGGAAGACGGCCUUCUGGGUUGUAAACUGCUUUUAUAUGGGAAGAAAACGGCCUUGCGAGGCAGAUUGACGGUACCAUAUGAAUAAGCACCGGCUAACUCCGUGCCAGCAGCCGCGGUAAUACGGAGGGUGCAAGCGUUGUCCGGAUUUAUUGGGUUUAAAGGGUACGUAGGCGGCCAAUUAAGUCAGUGGUGAAAGCCAGCAGCUCAACUGUUGAACUGCCAUUGAUACUGAUUGGCUCGAGUUCUGUUAAGGUAGGCGGAAUUGAUGGUGUAGCGGUGAAAUGCAUAGAUACCAUCAGGAACACCGAUUGCGAAGGCAGCUUACUAGGCAGAAACUGACGCUAAUGUACGAAAGCGUGGGGAUCGAACAGGAUUAGAUACCCUGGUAGUCCACGCCGUAAACGAUGCUCACUCGCUGUUGGCGAUACACAGUCAGCGGCCAAGCGAAAGCG
rnacentral:rRNA from 1 species